rnacentral:lncRNA from 1 species
GUAUAGAGUCGGUUUUCAACACUGAGAGGUCACGUAACUCCGUCAUUGUUCCGUCCAUAGAGUUUUAAAUAUCGAUAGUUAGGUUUCUUGAAUCGCCAAAAUAAUUAAAGUUUUUGAUUUAGAAAGAGAAAUGAAGUAGUUGAUGAUGCCCAACCCAUGAUAUCUUCUUCGUUUCCCUCCUACAAACAUCACCACCGAUCAGAUUCAAAAGGUCAUAUCCACCCAGCUAUCGUCUCCCUGCAUUGCCAACGCCAUCUUCUAUCUCUAUUCUUCUCUUUUCUUAGGUUUAUCUUUUCUUUGUAUUUUGUUAUUAUUCAUGUAGGCUUGUGAUCAUUUGAACAAUUUAUAUUUAAAUUAAAGCGUAAAAGUGCUUUGCUAAUAGUUAAUUUUGAAGGUCAUUAUGUUUAAAGAAGAUUACGUGCUUGAUCUAUACCUUUGACAAUGUGUGGAUGAGAAGAAUAAUAUGGUUGAAGUCCAGAUUAAGUUCGAGUGGCUAUAUCUUUAAAGUUCACAUUAGCACUCGAGAAUCUUCAAAGGUGUUUUAUAUUCUGCGAAGGAUUUAAUAAAGCAAACUAUUUUGACGAUGUUAGAGUUGCUUCCGCCGGAUUAGUUCUCCGUUAUGGUCAGAGUUUUGAAACAUCCUCUCGAUUGAUUACUGUCCUCUUCGUUAAUCACGGAUGGCCACAUGUAUGUUGUGCAGUUGAUUGUUAAGGUUUAUAAGGUAUUGGGUUGAAAAAUGGUAAACUAAACAAUCAAGAAGCAAUCAAGUGUUCUUGUGCAAUUGCAGAGGAGGCUAAAUGGAAAGAUGCCUUGAAAACUUAUUGCUGUUUGGGGAAACAGAAAAAAGGUCACAAGUUAAAUGAAUAGAGACAUUUUCAUUUGUAUAUAUUUUGAAUUCAUUUGUAUUUGAAAUUAUUUAUCUAUGAUAUUAUAGAUACAUUUGGUUUCAUU